CCCCUCGGCGCUGUUUUUCGCUGCUACCCCCUUCCCCCACCACUGCCCCUGGCACGUUUGGGCUAAACCCCCUCCACUCCGCCUGCGCUGGAGAAAUGUUCCUUGUACCAGAAGGAUGCAAGGACUGGGGGAGAAGCCAAUUUUCCAGUGUGUACAUCAGAAUAAGCAAAGGAGUCAUGAAUGACUUUCUGGCCGGAGAGAGAGAAGGUGUGCUCUGUGAGGUCCUAACAAAAGGUGGCUUGUGGCAGAUUUUUACCUCCUUCAAGCUCUAAUUAGCUGUAUACCAAGCACACCAUGGAGAACAAGCCUUUCAGAUCAAAGAUCAAUUUGCUCAUUAAGAAAAACAGUGAUUUCAGCUCAUCCUGUACAUGGUGGGAAAAAAAUCCAGUGCCAGAGGAUUCUCAACCAACUGACACAAUGACCAAAUUGUUUCAGUCGUUGUAUGAACUGAAUUCAGUCCAACAAAGACCUAUUAAGCUGGGCAACAAUACUUUCUGGGGUGCUACCGGGAACUGCAGAGGAGGUAGGAGGCCAGAAGGCCCUGCACUUGGCUGCCAUGAACAAGACCUCAGAGAGCAUCCUGGCUCCCGGCCAAGGAGGAGAUUAAGUCACAGAAACUCAGAAAGGCAAGGAACGAUGCCUAUCGACACCCCUAAAGAGAGCAAGAUUGCUGGGGAGUGAAGGACAUUUUCAAUUGUUGCUCUUUGUCUUGACUCAAAAAAAAAGGUUUCUUAGAAAUGCAGUGCCCCUGAG